CUGGUGAAACUCGUCUUCCAAGACAAGCGCUCCGUAGUUUCUACACUCCAGGUCCACUACCUGAUGAAACUCGUCUUCCAGGACAAGCGCUCCGUGGUUCCUGCGCUCCAGGUCAACUACCUGGUGAAAUUCGACUUCCGGAACAAGGACUCCGUGGUUCUUGCGCUCCAGAUCCGCUACCUGGUGAAACUCGACUUCCAGCACAAACGCUCCAUAGUUUCUACACUCCAGGUCCGCUACCUGGUGAAACUCGACUUCCAGGAUGAGCGCUCCGUAGUUCUGGCUGUCCAGGUCCUUCACCUGGUAACUUUUGACGUUCAGGACUAAUUAUCCGUAGUUCUGGUUAAACUUGUCAUGUUAACAAAAGAUUAUUUUAAUUCAUUUUUCGCUCAAGCCCAAAUUCAGUAGCUAUCAAUGCGCUAAUAAAAUUUCUAUAAUUUUUUAUAAUGUUCUCGUAAUCUUCUCGGUGAAAUGUGUCAAUAAAAAAAUUGUAUUAAUCCUUAUACAAUACUUUUGAUGUGUUCUAAUACUAGAAAUAUUUAUGAGUAUUCGAAGUAUAACCCGGGGUGGUUAACGGUGAUCGUUGGAGGUGGUUGAAGGUGGUUAGGGGUGGUUGCGGGUGAUCAAGGUGGACGAGGAGGAGGACGAGGAAGGCGAGCAGAACAAGGUGGACGAGGAGAACGAAGGUUUCUGCACGGUAUAACCCGAGGUAGUUAUCGGUGGUUGUUGGAGGUGGUUGAGGGUGGUUGGAGGUGGUCGGAGGUGGACGAGGAGGAGGACGAGGAAAACUAGGAGAACAAGAUGGAAGAGGAGGACAAGGAUUUGUGCUCGGUAUGACCCGAGGUGGUUAGCGGUGGUUGUUGG
rnacentral:lncRNA from 1 species